UGGCUUCUGUAGAUAGCAGUGAACUGUUGCUACCGUUCUCCAGUGUGAGAAGUUAACCAGAAUCUCAGGAAUUCAUCACCUGCAGGGUCCCACAGCAAAAACAUCCUCCUAGAAGGAGAGCCUUGUCUUCUAAAAUGAAGCACAAACUUCAUGGCAAGAGGACAAUCCUUUUUGAAUCAUAGCUACAUCCAUGACCCUGGCAUUCCAAGCAGUGUUUCCCAAGAUGAUCUGCAACUUUUAUUUUGAAGAACUACUGAGAAGUAACACUAUGAACUUCAAAAGACUGAAUUGCCCCAGGGCAGUGACCUGUGUGAUCAAGUUCACCAAUACAAAAAUGUGAUUUGCUCAAUGUCAUUUAAUACUCCUGUACCUGGCAAACCCAUGAUAAGCUAGUCCAAAAUCCUAAACUCAAAAAAU